UACAGAGGUCCCAAGCGUUGUUCGGAUUCACUGGGCGUAAAGGGUGCGUAGGUGGUCGGGUAAGUCUGAUGUGAAAUCUCCGAGCUCAACUCGGAAAUGGCAUUGGAUACUAUUCGGCUGGAGGGUUGGAGGGGGGACUGGAAUACUUGGUGUAGCAGUGAAAUGCGUAGAUAUCAAGUGGAACACCAGUGGCGAAGGCGAGUCCCUGGACAACUCCUGACACUGAGGCACGAAAGCUAGGGGAGCAAGCAGG
rnacentral:rRNA from 1 species